rnacentral:rRNA from 1 species
AGCAGCCGCGGUAAUUCCAGCUCCAAUAGCGUAUAUUAAAGUUGUUGCAGUUAAAAAGCUCGUAGUUGAAUUUCGGGGUCAGUAGGUUGGUCAUGCCACUGGUAUGUACUGGUCUCACUGAUUCCUCCUUCCUGAUGAACUGUAAUGCCAUUAAUUUGGUGUUGCAGGGAAUCUGGACUGUUACUUUGAAAAAUUAGAGUGUUUAAAGCAGGCUAACGCCUGAAUACAUUAGCAUGGAAUAAUGAAAUAGGACGUUCGAUCCUAUUUUGUUGGUUUCUAGGAUUGACGUAAUGAUUAAUAGGGAUAGUUGGGGGCAUUAGUAUUCAAUUGUCAGAGGUGAAAUUCUUGGAUUUAUUGAAGACUAACUACUGCGAAAGCAUUUGCCAAGGAUGUUUUCAUUAAUCAAGAACGAAAGUUAGGGGAUCGAAGACGAUCAGAUACCGUCGUAGUCUUAACCAUAAACUAUGCCGACUAGGGAUCGGAUGAUGUUAAUUUUUAAUGACUCAUUC